GACGUAGGGCGCGAGCGUUGUCCGGAUUUAUUGGGCGUAAAGAGCUCGUAGGCGGCUUGUCGCGUCGAAUGUGAAAUCUCAGGGCUCAACUCUGACAUUGCAUUCGAUACGGGCGGACUAGAGUUCGGCAGGGGAGACUGGAAUUCCUGGUGUAGCGGUGAAAUGCGCAGAUAUCAGGAGGAACACCGGUGGCGAAGGCGGGUCUCUGGGCCGAUACUGACGCUGAGGAGCGAAAGCGUGGGGAGCGAACAGG
rnacentral:rRNA from 1 species